UCCAUCGUGAGGUGGAGUCUGAAGGAAGCCUAAUGCAA
rfam:Natranaerobius trueperi strain DSM 18760 ZB100033, whole genome shotgun sequence.